AAAUAUGCUUGGGUGGAAAUUCUUUUCUCUGAAUCUUCUGCUCAGCCUGAAAACUUGAUUUUGAUAGAAGAGGAAGAAUUUUGCCUGGUUUUCUUGGCUUGAUUGAUUUGGUGAGCUGAAAGAAAGACACUGCUUCAUCAGAAUUCAAACAACAGAAAACAUCUCCCAGCCACAUCAAGCAAGCAGCAGCGACGUGUUUCUCUUCAACACGGAUAAUUGCCUUAACAAUACGUCAUCCUGGUUCACAACAACGCAGUAGAUAUGCUGACCACUGACAGUAACAAAAUGACCUGCAUGGUUCAAAGGAAAUCAAACCUGUGAGCUUUCCCAGCAGCAGCUAUGCCAUGGUAUCACAUCUGAAAGUAGCAGUGAAGUGUAUUAUUCUCCUGUCGUAAGAUUGUAUUAUGAGAGAGAAAAAAAAAAGGUAUUUUCUCAACCAAAAUUUCUCAUUAAUAUGGGUCAUCAACUGCUACAAUUUCUCCAUGUUCUUCCCAUUUAUUACCUAUCUUAAGCCAGAAUCAGUACCCAAAUGAGAGCCUCUUUUUUGAGUAGCAGGAUUGGAACUGCUGUUUCUUGCUAUAUUUUCUAUCCUCAAUAUGGAGACAAAGGAAGACAAGGCUGCUUCUGUGACUAAAAAUCACUACUUACCAUGAUUUAGCCAAUAAGAUGGGAUUACUCUCUGACUCAUUUUACUUUAGAAAAUUCACAAAGUUCAUAGGCACUGAGAAAGUACUCUGCACACCAGUGCUUAUUCUGCCAAGCACAAAAUGAGCAGUCCUAGACCACUCUAUUUCCAUAUAAUGGAAUAAUGUGCCUGUUGGGAAAAACAGGGAACUGGAAGAUUCCAUCAUCCUCCACGCCUUCAUUCCUAGCACUACAUCCCCACAAUUUUUCCAAAGAUAUCCUCUUUUCCACCCUCACAUUUAGAUGAAGAACAAAUUCACCCAUUUACACUAACCAACACUUCUCACCCAUAUUACGUUUUUAUUUCUAUUAACAGAUAUUUGUUUUUUAACCCCAAUUCUCAAAGAAAUGCCUUUUAGACCAUAAAGAAUAGCAUUCAUCCGAUGGGCGGGGUGGCUCACACCUGUAAUCCCAGCA